UCUUUUUGUGGAUAGCGACAACGAAACUAUUUUCUGGACAGAUACGGACUUCAAAACCAUCGAAUCCAUCCAGUUUGACGGAUCGAACCAGCGAGUACUGAUAAACGAUGUAGAUAUGCCGAGGGCAAUUAUAAUUGUUCCAGAAAACAGGAAGCUCUAUUGGACGGACUGGGGGAGUACACCCAAGAUUGAGAUGUCUAAUCGGGAUGGUUCUGGACGUCAGAUGAUUCUGGAUACAGACAUCGGAUGGCCAAACGGUAUCACUUACGAUAUGCAAGGGAAUCGGUUGAUUUGGUGUGAUGCUCGUCUCGACAAGAUUGAAUCGUGCGACCUUGAUGGUGGUGGGAGGAAG